rnacentral:rRNA from 1 species
GUGGGGAAUAUUGCACAAUGGGCGAAAGCCUGAUGCAGCAACGCCGCGUGAGUGAUGAAGGCCUUUGGGUCGUAAAACUCUGUCCUUGGGGAAGAAAAAAAUGACGGUACCCUUGGAGGAAGCCCCGGCUAACUACGUGCCAGCAGCCGCGGUAAUACGUAGGGGGCAAGCGUUAUCCGGAAUUAUUGGGCGUAAAGAGUGCGUAGGUGGUUUUGUAAGCGUAGGGUGAAAGGCAGUAGCUCAACUAUUGUUAGCCCUGCGAACUGUGAGACUUGAGUGCAGGAGAGGAAAGUGGAAUUCCUAGUGUAGCGGUGAAAUGCGUAGAUAUUAGGAGGAACACCAGUGGCGAAGGCGACUUUCUGGACUGUAACUGACACUGAGGCACGAAAGCGUGGGUAGCAAACAGGAUUAGAAACCCCAGUAGUCC